CGGUCAUUAGCAUAAGACAUUUGCAAGAAAAGGUUAAAAUGGAGGGUUCCCUCCUAAUAUUCCAUCCCAUGACCUAUUCCCUUGGUUCUUCCCCCAUUUUUCUCUCUUCCCUUCCCAUAUAUGCCUAGAAGAACACUCAUAUUUGUACCACAAUUUGCAAGCCAACACACAAUAAGGAGAUUGAAGGAAAGAUUCAAGGGCAUGGCAACUUUGCAAAGGGCAAAAGUGUUCAGGAGGCAAGGUUCAUCAGGACCAGUGUGGGAUGAUAAGUUCUUGUUGGUAGAAGACAAGGUAGAAUACAGGGAGCUAAGGCCUUGUCAAAGUGCCUUAAACAUUAGAAAUAUGGAUUGUAGGGGCUCAAGUGCGGCAGCACCAACUUCUUGUCCUCGUAGCCUCUCAACACCAGCCAUGAAACAAACUUUUUCUGAAGGCUCCGGGAAGGGUUUAGGCAUCUCAAAAUCCAAAUCAGGAAAAUCAAAACUGCUUUUAGCCAUACUUUCCAGUAGCAAGUAAUUUUCCUGAGUUUCAUCAUCACUCAACAGCUUCUAAAAUUGCAUCUCCCUCUUUUCCUUCAUUCAUUUGUUGCUAUUCAUAUAUAUAAUGGUUGUACCAACUAUGAAGCAAUGACUGUGAAUGGAAUUAUGCAUGGUAGCCAUCAUUUUCAAGACUGCUAUUACUCAAUAUUUUUGAGCAAGCAAAUGAAAACAG
rnacentral:misc_RNA from 1 species